UAUUGUUGAGUAAAUAACUCCUAUUAUUGCUUGAGGUAAUUCUUCUAAGCUCUAUCUUCAAAGGCCAUUUUUGCUUGGCAAAAGAAAUCCUAUUUGGAAGCACUAUGGAGAUACUGGGAAGGCAUUUCUUUGAAGGUGAAAAAGGGCAAACCUGAAGAUAAAGUGGUCCUUUAUAAAAAAAAGAUUGUGCUUUUCUUAAGACAGUAGGGAUACCUGUUACCUAAGUACAUGCUUUGCCGAGGUUUGAAAUCUCCAGCGAAGAUGAUGCAGUUCUACUUUAAUGCUUAAAUGUAUUGUUGUGUUGUUUUCUUCUUACCGGUUGCAUAACUACCCCUGGCCCCCACCUCCCAUGCCUCUCUUCUUUGUGUGUUCUUAUUUCUCAUCCUUACCUUAAAUAUAGUUUUUCCUUCUUUCAAUCUUCCAUGUGUUGAACCAAGUCACCAAGGCAACUAAAUAAUUUUGGCAGCAAUAUUUGAAGCGUGAAAUGUAUAAUUGUGUGGGAAUAUGUGAGCAGCAAAGCAAGUGCUAGGAAGGUAAUCCCGAUAUGUUCUGGCAGGAACGUUUCUCCUAGUUAUGCCUUGUUUGAAUGGUUUCUGUUGUUGCCUAAAUAUGGAGGUAAGACUCGAAAGUUGAUGCAACAAGCUUCUUGUUCUAGCCCUGCUGAACUGCUUGGGCUGAUGAAAGUGAAAUUGGGGAAAUUUUGCACGCAGUUGGUUUGGGUGUGUGCUGGCCAGGCCUGGCCUUCGGCUCUAAAUGUAUCCAGCUGCGAGCUGUAUAUCAAGGGUCCUGUGGUUUUCUAAGAAUUUGAAGUCCGAGAAUGUCGGUGGGAAUUACAAAUCUUGAUAUUUCUAAAGAUUUCUGUUGUUCUAUAGAUA
rnacentral:misc_RNA from 1 species